CGGGCAGUAGUUCAUCUGGUAGAAUGCAUGGUUCGGGACCAUGUGGUGGCUGGUUCGAGUCCAGUCUGCCCGA
rnacentral:tRNA from 1 species